rnacentral:rRNA from 1 species
GAUGAACGCUGGCGGCGUGCCUAAUACAUGCAAGUCGAGCGAACGGACGAGAAGCUUGCUUUUCUGAUGUUAGCGGCGGACGGGUGAGUAACACGUGGAUAACCUACCUAUAAGACUGGGAUAACUUCGGGAAGCCGGAGCUAAUACCGGAUAAUAUUUUGAACCGCAUGGUUCAAAAGUGAAAGACGGUCUUGCUGUCACUUAUAGAUGGAUCCGCGCUGCAUUAGCUAGUUGGUAAGGUAACGGCUUACCAAGGCAACGAUGCAUAGCCGACCUGAGAGGGUGAUUGGCCACACUGGAACUGAGACACGGUCCAGACUCCUACGGGAGGCAGCAGUAGGGAAUCUUCCGCAAUGGGCGAAAGCCUGACGGAGCAACGCCGCGUGAGUGAUGAAGGUCUUCGGAUCGUAAAACUCUGUUAUUAGGGAAGAACAUAUGUGUAAGUAACUGUGCACAUCUUGACGGUACCUAAUCAGAAAGCCACGGCUAACUACGUG